rnacentral:rRNA from 1 species
UACGGAGGGUGCGAGCGUUGUCCGGAAUCAUUGGGCGUAAAGGGCGCGUAGGUGGCUUCUCAAGCGUGCGGUGAAAGCCUGGGGCUCAACCCCGGGCCUGCAUUCGAUACGGGCAGACUAGAGUUCGGUAGGGGAGUCUGGAAUUCCUGGUGUAGCGGUGAAAUGCGCAGAUAUCAGGAGGAACACCGGUGGCGAAGGCGGGACUCUGGGCCGAUACUGACGCUGAGGAGCGAAAGCGUGGGGAGCAAACAGG